AGGACGAACGCUGGCGGCGUGCCUAACACAUGCAAGUCGAGCGGGGACAUGCGACGGAUAGGAAGUUUCGGAUGGACUUGAAGAUGCAUUGUUCUAGCGGCGGACGGGUGAGUAACGCGUGAGCAACCUGUCCCUUACAGGGGGAUAACACAGCGAAAGUUGUACUAAUACCGCAUAAGACCACGGGAGGACAUCCUUCAGGGGUCAAAGGAGGAAUCCGGUAAGGGGUGGGCUCGCGUCCGAUUAGAUAGUUGGUGAGGUAACGGCCCACCAAGUCGACGAUCGGUAGCCGACCUGAGAGGGUGAUCGGCCACAUUGGGACUGAGACACGGCCCAAACUCCUACGGGAGGCAGCAGUGGGGAAUAUUGGGCAAAUGGGGGAAACCCUGACCCAGCAACGCCGCGUGAGGGAAGAAGGUUUUCGGAUCGUAAACCUCUGUCCUUGGUGAAGAGGAAGAGACGGUAGCCAAGGAGGAAGCCCCGGCUAACUACGUGCCAGCCGCCGC
rnacentral:rRNA from 1 species